rnacentral:misc_RNA from 1 species
CGCUCGGAGCGUGCAGUGUAUCGGUGUCAGUACGAACGGACGCGCCACGAUUUAUCGUGGUAAACGUCUCGUAGGCGGUUUAUGAAUCAUAUGAUUCACCGAUCAACGAUAUUUUCACUCGGUGUUACGUGUUGAACAAAAUCGAAUCGAAAGCAGAAACGAAAAACUGCUCACGAUUCAGUGAAAGUGGCAGACGGAGCGGUGACAGCGAGAUUUCGCGCGUGUUCAAGCCGGGAGGCGCAUGUUGCUCUCCUCAAGGUUCGAUCGAGUCGAAGACAGCUGGGAGAGAAUUGUUCGGGAGGGAUGCUUUGAAAUACAGACACAGUUAUUUCAUUCAAGGGUGAAACGUCGUCCCAGAAGAUCGAGGCAUGCCGAAGUAUUGGCUGAACGUGGCCCUUCUCAGGGUUAUUCUGCCACUUGUCUUAGCAGGAUGUACGGUAUGGCGGCCCGUGGGACUGUCCCUAGUUUAUUUUGCUCUGAUGCUAUAUUCGCCCCAUGUCCCUGUACCAAACGCAAAGACAAUGGCUGGCCAUACGGGACAUUAUUUGAAGACCUGCAUCGGCCUAUCUUUUCUCACAGCCACCAGUCAAUUCACCUUUCACAUAGUUUUGCUGGCGUUGCCAACUUACGGACAUUUUCUUCAAAACUGCGAACUGAUGGAAGUGAUCUUCAGACACAUAGGUUUCGUGAGGCUAGAUAGCGCGUCAGCUUGGGAGGUCCUUUUUUGGCUGACCCCAGAGCUAAUUGUUUUACCUACUAGUAUAGCAAUGUAUUUUAUAUGUCGUUCCCUAUCUCAAAAGUCGGUCACCAACGUAGAAGACGAUGCAUCGUUGCAUCGGGGUGCUGUUGCUUCGAAAAAGACCGAGGACAGCACGGCAAAGAUCAUCAAUUUUCUGGGGCGUAUCGGAACCUACGUGGUCCUGGCGUCAUUUUGCAUCACAGCAUCCUUGAAACCAUCCGUGGAAGGUGGUUGUUACUUCCUCGUCUUCCUAGGAGCAGCUACUUGGUGGGCGUGUAAUAAAGAGCUUCGGAAAGGAUUCGCUGUACUUUGCAGGAUCAUGAUGGCCGUCGUAAUCCUUCAUCUACUGACCCUGCUCACUUAUCAGAAUCAACUGCCUCAAGAAUUGAUCCCUUUGAAUAGGACCUGGCAACGUUAUUUUGCUCUGACCGCGAUCUAUCGGACGAAUUGCAGCGAUCCGAGAAACGUGGAAUACGCUGAAAAUGCUGAUUGGUUGGUUUACGGCUACUGUUUGCGACUGUUUUGGCUCUACUACGUUUUGGCUUUGCAAUCUCAAUUCCUGAGCAAAAAACCGAACGUUGCUUUUACUAACGAGGCGUUCCAGGCAAAGAAAGUGAAACGUUUAAGCGGCAAACUGGAGAACCUGGACACUCCAUUGUCUAGACACGUUUCCAUCAGAAGAAGGACACCUUCUCAGAGAUGGCAAUCUGCCCGUCGAAAGGCCCGCAAGCCGAUCGUUAAUUCGUCGUCCCUACCUGUCGACGAGCGCACACCCUUGAUGAGGUUUGGAUCCGGAAGAACGGGACUGUUGCAAGAUUCAACCGGAAGCGUCAUCGUUCAAGACGGUCAUCAGGAUGACAGUAUUCAGCUGCAAAGUCUUAGCGAAGCUGCUCCUGAUGAACAAUCUGGGAUCAUCGAACACAUCAUCAUGGCUGUAUAUUCGAUUUUCCAAUUGAUCAUCAAUUCAUCUUACAUCGCCACUAAUAUCAUAAUGAUGACUUGGAGCAUAAUGUAUCACAGUUGGACAACAUUUGCUUUGUUAUUAUGGGCUUUGGUCCUUUGGAUGGUGCCUAACAAACGAGCUUCCAUGAUGAAAUGCUCUCCCUUUAUCGUUUUUUACGCGAUGCUUCUUCUUCUGGGACAGUACAUUUAUAGUAUGGAUUUGACCGAGGAAGAGUUACCGACACAAAUAAAUGGAGUUAAAAUAUCAGAAAUCGGUUUCAGCAAGACCGAAAGUCAUUGGCAUUUAGUGGUUAAAUGUGUGUUCAUAUCGAUGUUUUGGAUUACGAUGAGACAGUAUACCGCUGAGAGAACCAGACAAAGGCGUUCUUCAGCGUUGAGAGACAUGGUAGCUCCGUUACAUGUUUCCGUUUCGACAGCCACCACUGCCAUGCACCAGGAAGCGCCUGAGAUUAAAAGCAAAUUCAUGAAAGAUGUUGGUAUUCUUCUGAAAAAGUUGCUGACCAAGUUUUGGAUCGCUGUAGUAGCCAUUAUGCUAUUUAUCUGCGGAAUCACUGGCGAACGUAUGACCGUCUUCAGGAUCGUUUACAUGUCUCUCUUCUUGGUUCUAGUCAUUACAUUCCAGAUAUCCUGGACAGUAUGGAGGAAGAUGAUGUACUCGUUCUGGCUCACAGUCAUCGGAUACUCCGUGAUCAUGUUGAUCCUCGUCUACACUUAUCAAUUCGACAAUUUCCCAGAAUAUUGGAGCUAUUUGCGCAUAGACGAAGACCUGCAGAUGGACAUCGGUUUAGAGAAAUACGCGACCAAAGAUCUUUUCGUUAGACUGUUAACACCGACCUUCUUCGUCAUCAUCACCGUUCUUCAGAUUCAUUAUUUUCACAAAGACUUCUUGGAAGUGACAAAUAUCGAAAGAUUCGGAUACCGGAGUAGUCCUGUCAGACGAUCCAGUCUUGGCCACUCUCCGACCUUGGACAUAGUACCAAAUAUACCUGCAGACAUUUUUAUUAGCGAGGAGACAAACGAAACCAAAUACAGCUUGCGACAAUUGAAACGAAUGUCCAAAUUGGAAAGAGUAGCGUUAUUUCGCAAAAUAGUCGGCCAUUUGGUGAACUUCUACAAUUACACGUGGCUGUUCCUUGAAAUUCAUAUGCAGAAGAUUGUUUUCAUCUCUGUGAUACUACUUUGCGUGAACGAUGUUUGUGCCAUUAAUAUAGUGUUCGUCGUGAUAGUGGUUAUUAUGAUCAAUUCUAGACGGAACGUUCAAAUAUGCACCGUUAACACGAUCGCAGCGAUCAUUGCUCUCUUAAUGGUUGUAAAGAUGCUUUAUCAGAUUCAGUACAUCGAUCAUAACAAUUGGAACGUUAAUUGCACGAAAAACAUAGAUGAAUUUCAACAGCCAUACGCCAGCAACAACACAGUAUACAACAUAGCCGAAUGGUUUGGUAUAAAGAAAGCAGAGCCAGGACAUCUCGCAGAACUACUGAAAGGCUAUAUAGGAAUCAUAGUAGUGACCACCGUGAGAAAAAUCAUCAGAAUUCGACAGUGCUUCCAUCGACAAGAACGUGGUGAACCUCUGGACACGCCACAAGUCAUGUUCCCAUCGAUCACUAGAGCAGACGCUGAUAAAGGACUGCCAGAAUGCAUAAAGUUCCUGUUCAAUUACGGAUUCUACAAGUUUGGCGUAGAAAUGUGUCUGAUAGGAAUCGUGGCUUUGAUUGGAACAAGACUCGACUUUUAUUCGGUUCUAUAUAGUAUAUGGUUGUUGCUGUUCUUUUCCUUGAAAAGAAGAACUAUCUCGAAGAUUUGGCCAUUCUUCAAGAUUUUCGCUAUAAUCCUUUUACCUAUUCAGUAUUCUCUGGUCGUGUCGCUGCCUUCCUGGCUUUGUAUAGAUUAUCCAUGGGGUGAUUCGAAAAUAUUGAGGAGGCUACAAGAGUGGAUGUAUUUCCCUGAUCCAGAUUUCCCACCGAAUCCCAGAAAACUAAUAUGUGACUUCAUUCUGUUGAUGAUGAUCGUCAGACAGAGCCUCGUUUUCAAAAUCGAACAACGAAGCGCAGCGUCUGGCGUAGAAUUUCCAGCAGGUCACAAUUAUUCCGUGUACAAUAACAUGGAGAAACCGAAUUUCGUAAAUCCUGUGAAAGAUUACGUGUCCCACAUUCAUUCGUGGUUGGACAUCGUGAAACGAGGCGUGAUGAUGAGUCUUAUGUGGGUUACCUUGUCGAUCAUGUUCUUGGCUGGAACCGAGAGAACCAACCUGUUCUCGUUGGGUUACUUGAUCGGAGCGUUCGUGUUCCUCUGGCAAGGAAGCGACUUUUAUUUGAGACCAGUCAAGACGAUUUUAAAAUGGUGGAAUCUUCUGAUUGGAUACAACGUUACCGUUAUCUUCUUGAAAGCCUUGCUUCAAGGUAUAGGUUGUGUGCUGACAACGGAGUUGAAGACUUCAGCAUGUCCAGUCAUUCAGUUAUUCGGCAUUAGCUGUCUAAGAAAAUUCCGAAGUUCUACCAGUGAUCUCGAGUUGGGAAAAGCAGAAUGCGAAGUACCUCGCGAAGACAUAGGCAUGGUCUGGGACGGCCUGUGCUUUGGCUUUCUGCUACUGCAGAAACGACUCUUUAAGAGUUACUAUUUCUUCCACAUAGUGGAUGAAACGAAAGCCAUGAGCGUGUUGGCUUCCCGAGGAGCUGAGUUGCUCGAAGAGCUGCACCAGAAACGCAUCGAGAUCCAGGACAACGUGGAAAAGAACGUGCUACAAAAGUUGAAGUUUAAGAUGGACAAGAUCAAAGCCAAUCAGAGAAAGAUACAAGGACCCAGUUACAGAGAACCCCAGACGCACAAAGUUGAUACUCUCUAUCCAGGGACAAGGCCAUUGUACAGAGUUCGCGCUCCAAAUACCAACAAAGAGGCCAUCAGAUCCGGUGAUUACUACAUGUUCGAUGACUUGGACGACGAUGAUGUGACUGAUCUUAUUCCCGACACCGAAUCCGAGAAGAAAGAGCAAGAACGUCGCCGCGAACAAGAGAGGCGUAGUCGAAGGAUGACCAUCUCCGAGCUGAUGCACACGCUGAUUAAGACAGACAUUGAGAUUGCGACGCACGUUGCCAUGUACGGAGGGACUGAAAAGGACGCGCUGAGACUUCGUCGUCGUAGUGUACCUUUGACAAGGAAGAAAUCGUCUAUGUCGUACCUAAGUGCACGUUCCGAGACCGACACAGCAGUGGCCACCGAUUCGCAGCUGACAGCGAGGCUCCUCGUCGUUGGUGGCGGUGACAAAACAAGUCUUACAUCGGCUGACAUUGAAACCGAAGAAAAGGAUACGUCAAUGGCAGAUGCUGAGAAAACAUCCCAACCCUCUGACGAUGAGUACGGAGAAGAUAAGGUCGACGAACCAAAAAGGAAGGAAGAAGAGGAAGAAGAGGAGGAGGAGGAGGAGAAGAAAGUGUCGUUUGUCACGUACCUUAAAUUCCUUUUGGUGAUGAUUAACAGCACAUUAACUUCGAUGACCAGAUAUUUGAAUAGAUUUUCAAGGGACUAUAGAUAUAUUCGCAAGGUUCUAGCGAAAGAAAAGAAACUAUUAAAGGCAAAGCCAGAUUUUCGAAUGGGAACGAGAUUAGGUAUAAAUCAAAUGUGGCAGCCGAUACCAUUAUUGAAGAAGAGAUCCUCGACUAAUGGAAUUACCGAGGAAUGUUUCGAUGCUGGCGAGGGUCCUAGUCAACCUCGAACACAGGAGGAGAGCACGCUCUUCUCUGAAAUGUCACCCGUUCAACACGACGACGAAGCAGGGGAAUUAUCGGAGGUCGACCAACCACCGAUAAUACAAUUAUUGGCGUCCAUAUGGUUUGGCAUUUUGGCCCACUCGAGUCUGCUAUGCUACUUUAUGGUGUUUCUUCAUCAAAUCAAAAAUGCGUCGGUUUUAUCCACACCCUUGCCGCUGAUGGUGUUUUGCUGGGGUUCACUUACAAUCCCACGACCAUCGAAGACAUUUUGGGUAACUUUGAUCGCAUACACCGAGGUAAUUGUCAUCGUAAAAUGCAUUUUCCAAUUGGAACUGUUACCCUGGAAUCGAGACGCCGCACCGAAUAAUCCUCUCUUUACACCCAGAAUCAUGGGAGUUGAACGAAAACCUGAUUACGCCUUAUGGGAUCUAUUGUUGCUCCUUAUGGUAUUCUUCCACAGGUUUAUGCUGAAGUCGUUGGGACAGUGGACCGCGCCGACGCUUAAACCAAGGAAAAUUAUACCCUCGAGUUUAACUAUAGUCGCGUCUAAACCUCCUCCUGAAGAUAGAGGGCAAGGGGAAACUGUGUUACGAAACGAAACAGAGGAUGGUACCAAUAUAAAAACACCUGCAGGAAGGACCUUGCAUAUCCGUGGUGAGGGCGAAAAUCUAGAAACGCACGAUGAGAAUGAAAGACUUGUCGCGAUUCAGGGCGAAGAAACGGAUGAAACAUUCCAGAAAACUAUGGAUAUGACCGUUAACAAAUAUAUGGAACCGACGAAACACUUUUUCCGCAUGAUUCUCAGUACGUCCGGCAAAGAGAAAACCAAUGUGUAUGCGUACAUGUUUCUCUGCGAUUUCUUCAACUUUUUGCUACUCAUUUUUGGAUUCUCUGCAUUUGGAACUCAACAAGGCGAUGGCGGUGUGACGGCCUAUUUACAGGAAAAUCGAGUACCUAUGCCUUUCUUGUUAAUGUUAUUAUUGCAAUUUGCGCUGAUUGUUAUCGAUAGAGCUUUAUUCUUGAGAAAGUCUAUCCUGGGAAAACUAAUCUUUCAAUACUGCUUAAUAUUUGGUGUUCACAUUUGGAUGUUCUUCAUUUUGCCAAGUGUUACGGAACGACAAUUUAAUGAGAAGCUUCCACCACAAAUUUGGUACAUGGUGAAGUGUUUCUAUCUUCUAUUGGCUGCGUAUCAGUUACGACAGGGCUAUCCAACGCGUAUACUCGGUAACUUCCUCUGCAAAGAUUACAGUAUCGUGAACUACGUCUUGUUUAAAGGAUUCAUGCUGGUUCCUUUCUUGUUCGAGCUGAGAGCUGUUAUGGAUUGGAUUUGGACAGACACAUCCAUGGCCAUUAUGGACUGGUUCAAAAUGGAAGAUAUAUUCGCCAGCAUUUAUCAAAUCAAGUGUAUGCGAGGCGUAGAAGCAGAUUUCCCGCAGCCACGAGGCGUUAAGAAACAGCAAAUGAGCAAAUACUUAGUAGGUGGUGGUGCUCUGUUCCUCAUGAUUGGGUUGAUAUGGUUCCCAUUGCUUUUGUUUGCACUUGGUGGCACGGUUGGUGUUUCAAACUUGCCUUACGAUGUCUCGAUGAAAAUUAGAAUCGGUCCAUAUGAACCUAUUUACGCCAUGUCUGCUCAAAGCGGCUCUAUCAUCGAAUACAACGAAGCAGAGUAUAAAAGAUUAACAAAUUUGUACGCGAGGGAUAGACCUGCGGUUACUUUCUUAGAGAAUUAUGUUCAUUCUGACGUCGCUGCGAUCAGACUGAGCGGAUUUUCUAGAAAAUUGUGGAGUAUAUCUCCGCCAGAUUUAGAAAGACUAAUAGCAGAAUUAGAAAACAACAGUACCACUGUCGUCGUUCACGUGGAAUGGACAGUGUCACGAAAGACAGAUGCCAAAGACGCCACUGGUAUAACGACGAAAACUCGUGACAUAAAAUUACUUCCGUUUAUUAAUGAUGAAUUCAAUCCUGUAAGAAGAAAGUUAGCCGAUAUGUUAUCGCCUGAGAAAUCGACUAUACAUAACGGUACUAUCAUAUUGCCAAACGCUUUUCCAAAAUUCUUAAAGGUAACUGGUCGCAACACUGACGUGGUUCCUCAAUUGAUGCAUUUAAGAUUGCGACGCGACGAAAAUGAGGAAGUAACAGACGACAGUUAUCUUUAUAGAAAUAUUAGCCUUCAACUGUCCACCGAUUCUGAAUGCUGUGCGCACGAAAAAUGGUGGGUCGUUAGAGAAGCUUGCAACGAUCCAUUGUAUGAACAAUUAUUAGAAAAUAUACCUUUAAAUAGUUGCAAAUACAUCAUGAUGUUCUUGUUCAACGAUAAAACGUUCCCUGAGGGAUUGAGCUUCAUUAGUGGAUUAGGAAUCUUAGGUUUGUAUACCACCGCGGUUAUCGUGAUAAGUCAGAUGAUGAGAAAGAUAGUCAGUGAUAUGGCACCAAAGAUCAUGUUCGAUGACUUGCCCUACGUAGAUAGGAUCCUUCGAUUGUGUUUGGACAUUUAUUUGGUCCGUGAAAGUGGUGAAUUGUGUCUCGAAGAGGACUUGUUUGCCAAAUUAAUAUUCCUCUACAGAUCGCCAGAGACGUUAAUCAGGUGGACAAGACCUCCUGAAGAAGGAGAGCGGACCGAUAAUGAAGAUCAAGAUGAGGUAGAGGAAGAGGGGAGAGGAGAAUCUCGAGAAGUUUCUCGUCGCGAAUAAGUUUUUUCAAAAGCGAAAUAUUACCAGUGAACAAUACUCUUCAAGAAUUUUUUAAAUCGAUUUAACGAACUUAAACAGUGACGCAACGAGUGUUCUGGAAAUUAGAAAGAAAGCUCAGGAAUCUAUUAUCGUGCUGUUUACUGUUUGAAUAAUGAAGAGAUUGAUGAAUGAAGAGAUCGUUUCUAUCUUCAAACAUCAAUAUUAUGUACAUGUACAUACAGAAGUCAGAAGGGAAGGCGAAACAAGAUUAAGGAACAAUAAGGAAAGAGAUUUGAAAAUUCGAAAAGAAUACUAGAAUAUGUUCUAGUAAGAUUUUUUAUUUCGUGGUCAUAGAUUUAAGUGAAAUUUUUACUUUAACAUUUAUUUAUAAAAGAUUCGCUUAAAUAGCACAAUAUAUCAUAAUAUAAGAACACUAUUGUGAUCAUGGAAUAUCAAUAACACAAUUUCAGAACAAGUGCUUUAUACGUUUUACACGUAUGCGGAUCAUUUAUCGUACCAUAUGGAAGCUGUUCUCGUUUUAUCUAUAAUUUAUUUAUACUUUACGUCCACACCGAAAUCCAUGCACGUUUCGAGCAUAAUUCCAUUUCAGAUUGCAUUUGUACCCGAUAAACAUGUUUGCUGAAAACUGCCGUUAGCAAUAUUUUUCGUUCCUUUUUAUACCUUUUUCUAAUCAUUAGUACACAUCAUUAUCAUUCACGAAUAGCAAAUAUGGCCGAUUGGGUCAAGCCUUGAGCGUAUUUUAUAUAUUAUUUAUGUCCGAAGUGAAGAUUUCACGAUGACUAUCAUUGUUUGUAAAUAUAUAUUAUACGAUGCGCGUUUUCGUCGAAACAUUGUAUCAUGUCGCCUUGAUAUGCCUUUUAAAGAUAUCUUCAAAUAUAAAUCAUGUUUCGAAUGGA